CUUAUGCGUUGUUGGGUAGGGGAGCGUUCUGUAAGCCUGUGAAGGUGUGCUGUGAGGCAUGCUGGAGGUAUCAGAAGUGCGAAUGCUGACAUAAGUAACGAUAAAGCGGGUGAAAAGCCCGCUCGCCGGAAGACCAAGGGUUCCUGUCCAACGUUAAUCGGGGCAGGGUGAGUCGACCCCUAAGGCGAGGCCGAAAGGCGUAGUCGAUGGGAAACAGGUUAAUAUUCCUGUACUUGGUGUUACUGCGAAGGGGGGACGGAGAAGGCUAUGUUGGCCGGGCGACGGUUGUCCCGGUUUAAGCGUGUAGGCUGGUUUUCCAGGCAAAUCCGGAAAAUCAAGGCUGAGGCGUGAUGACGAGGCACUACGGUGCUGAAGCAACAAAUGCCCUGCUUCCAGGAAAAGCCUCUAAGCAUCAGGUAACAUCAAAUCGUACCCCAAACCGACACAGGUGGUCAGGUAGAGAAUACCAAGGCGCUUGAGAGAACUCGGGUGAAGGAACUAGGCAAAAUGGUGCCGUAACUUCGGGAGAAGG
rnacentral:rRNA from 1 species